rnacentral:rRNA from 1 species
CUACGGAGGGUGCAAGCGUUACUCGGAAUCACUGGGCGUAAAGCGCGCGCAGGCGGUCUUUUAAGUUGGAUGUGAAAGCCUACGGCUCAACCGUAGAACUGCAUCCAAAACUAUUAGACUAGAGUGUGGGAGAGGAAGAUGGAAUUAGUUGUGUAGGGGUAAAAUCAGUAGAGAUAACUAGGAAUACAAAAAGCGAAGGCAAUCUUCUGGAACACUACUGACGCUGAGGCGCGAAAGCGUGGGGAGCAAACAGGAUUAGAAACCCUAGUAGUCC